GACUGGGUCAAAUACAGGACAGGACACUGAACAGGACCCAACACUAUAAAAACCUUCAAAGUUUUCCAGCUAUUUUGCACACAUGUGAGACAAAGGUAUUUUUUCAGAUCUUCAAAGUCAGCCUGCAAAAGUCAUGAUAAACUGGAAAUAGUCUCUCCAUGAUUCUGGACACUCUUUUAUCCAGAGCAUUCAUCCUGAAAUUAGCAAACCCAGCAGCUGUAUGUCUGAUGUCAGGGGUUCUGCGUGGUUAAGCCUGCAGCUGGUCUCGAUGAGAACUUAAUUUCCAAGUGAAUCCUUGCUAGAAGCUACCUGGACUUCCACUUUGCAGCUCCAGACUACACAGUGGGCUUUGAUGAGGAAUCUGUUUGUAGCUGGAAGAAGAGCACUUGGUAAAACUCAGUUACCCAGUCCCUCCUCCAUCAGCACCUCUCCUCCUAGCUGGUCCCACCAAAGAGUUUCAGUUAACCAGGAACAUAACCACCUCUCAAAGAUCUGCUGCCCAAGACCCCAGGCCCCUGGGCCGCAGUCUGCCCUGCACCAUUUUCUAGGUUUCCAUUCGGCCUCUUUGUUUCAUCAGCCUCUGCUCCUUCCCUCUGCCUGUUCAGUUUUCCAAAUAAAAAGCGC